rnacentral:rRNA from 1 species
GGAGGGUGCAAGCGUUAUUCGGAAUCACUGGGCGUAAAGAGCGCGUAGGCGGUUUCUAAAGUCAGAUGUGAAAGCCCGGGGCUCAACCUCGGAAGUGCAUUUGAAACUUAGGGACUUGAGUAUGGGAGAGGGAAGUGGAAUUCCUGGUGUAGCGGUGAAAUGCGUAGAUAUCAGGAGGAACACCGGUGGCGAAGGCGACUUCCUGGACCAAUACUGACGCUGAGGCGCGAAGGCGUGGGGAGCAAACAGGAUUAGAUACCCUGGUAGUCCACGCAGUAAACGUUGAACACUAGGUGUAGCGGGUAUUGACCCCCUGCUGUGCCGCAGCUAACGCAUUAAGUGUUCCGCCUGGGGAUACGGCCGCAAGGCUA